CGCGKGAUGGAGCAGUCUGGUAGCUCGUCGGGCUCAUAACCCGAAGGUCGUUGGUUCAAAUCCAGCUCCCGCAACCA
rnacentral:tRNA from 1 species